rnacentral:rRNA from 1 species
UACGUAGGGAGCAAGCGUUGUUCGGAUUUACUGGGCGUAAAGGGCGCGUAGGCGGCGCGGUAAGUCACUUGUGAAAUCUCUGAGCUUAACUCAGAACGGCCAAGUGAUACUGCAGUGCUAGAGUGCAGAAGGGGCAAUCGGAAUUCUUGGUGUAGCGGUGAAAUGCGUAGAUAUCAAGGGGAACACCUGAGGUGAAGACGGGUUGCUGGGCUGACACUGACGCUGAGUGCGCGAAAGCCAGGGGAGCAAACGGG